rnacentral:piRNA from 1 species
UGCUUGGCAGCCACUGUUUGGGCCACAGCC